GACGAACGCUGGCGGCGUGCUUAACACAUGCAAGUCGAACGGAAAGGCCCCUUUGGGGGUACUCGAGUGGCGAACGGGUGAGUAACACGUGAGUAACCUGCCCUUGACUUCGGGAUAACUUCAGGAAACUGGGGCUAAUACCGGCUAGGAAUCCUUGCUGCAUGGUGGGGGUUGGAAAGCUUCGGCGGUUUUGGAUGGACUCGCGGCUUAUCAGCUUGUUGGUGGGGUAGUGGCUUACCAAGGCUUUGACGGGUAGCCGGCCUGAGAGGGCGACCGGCCACAUUGGGACUGAGAUACGGCCCAGACUCCUACGGGAGGCAGCAGGGGGGAAUAUUGCACAAUGGGCGGAAGCCUGAUGCAGCAACGCCGCGUGCGGGAGGACGGCCUUCGGGUUGUAAACCGCUUUCAGCAGGGGCGAAGCUUGUGGUGACGGUACCUGCAGAAGAAGCACCGGCUAACUACGUG
rnacentral:rRNA from 1 species